CACAGAGAGAAUUUAAAUAUGAGGAAAUAAAUGCAAAUUAUGUUUAAAUGGUUCUGCUGUGUCAUUUCCUGGGGGUUUGAUCAUGUAGGUGUUUAGACCGAAGGGGAAACCUUCUGAUUUCUCUGAUGAAGCCAAUAAGGAAAGUGACUUGAGGCUGGCUCCAAAAGGGAGUCAAUUCCCAUAAACUCCCAUGUUAAAAAUGCCCAACUUUACAGUAGAAAAUAAUACGUUUACAGCCUGGUACAAAACGUGUUUUUGGUCUAAUUUUAGCUAAUUUUGCCCUUCAUGACAACUGUGAGGGGGGUGAAAUGUUUUGUAAAUCAUCCGUUUAAAUUAUAUUAAGCCUUAAACUUCUGCAUAAUUAAGGGCGUGGCCGCUUGAGUGACGGUUAAACAGCCACUGUGGUCACUAGAAUCAAGCUAGGCGGGGGUGAUUUCAACAACCAACCACCUCAGCUUCACCCAUGUCCCGCCUCUUUACCCAUUUUCGGUGAUUUGCGGUGACGCGCGGCCAAGAUGGCGACUUUAAGUUUCAAAAACGAUUUUCACAAACCAAUGGGUGACUUCACCGACACUACGUCCAUAUUGUUU